UUUUAUUCUUUUUGAUGCAACUGUAACUGGGAUUAUUUUCUUAAUUUCUCUUUCCGAUAGAUUGUUAUUAGUGUAAAGAAACACAACAGAUCUGUGUGUAUCAAUUUUG